AAUGGGCGAAAGCCUGACGCAGCAACGCCGCGUGCGGGAUGACGGCCUUCGGGUUGUAAACCGCUUUCAGCAGGGACGAAAAUGACGGUACCUGCAGAAGAAGCUCCGGCUAACUACGUGCCAGCAGCCGCGGUAAUACGUAGGGAGCAAGCGUUGUCCGGAUUUAUUGGGCGUAAAGAGCUCGUAGGCGGUUCCGUAAGUCGAGUGUGAAAAAUCUGGGCUCAACCCAGUGGAGCACUCGAUACUGCGGUGACUAGAGUCCGGUAGGGGAGUGUGGAAUUCCUGGUGUAGCGGUGAAAUGCGCAGAUAUCAGGAGGAACACCGACGGCGAAGGCAGCACUCUGGGCCGGUACUGACGCUGAGGAGCGAAAGCGUGGGGAGCAAA
rnacentral:rRNA from 1 species